AUGGAGGCGCCCAUGCCGGUGGUAAGAAGGAAGAGAGGAAAGGGAGACAAUGAAACAGAUGGGGGAGAUGUCACUGACCUGUAGAUCUUUGCCGUCACCAUGAGCAGAGGGGAGCUUGCCCCGGCACCGCGAGCGGAGGGGAGGGGAGGAGAGGAGUGGUCUCUGCAGAUCCGUGAGCUCCUCCUUUAGAGCAUCACCAUGAGUUGAGGCGAGAAGAGAGAAGAAAUAAGGGAAGUUAGGGUUUCGGGUGCCACCCUGGCCGUGCGGCAGUGAGCCCGAUGAACAUCAAUACAUCUGGACUGCGGGUUGGUUUUCAAAAAGCUAAAGGGCUUUUUGUAAAUGAUGUAGCACG
rnacentral:lncRNA from 1 species